UACGAGGGGGGCUAGCGUUGCUCGGAAUUACUGGGCGUAAAGGGCGCGUAGGCGGACAGUUUAGUCAGAGGUGAAAGCCCCGGGCUAAACCUUGGAAUUGCCUUUGAUACUGGCUGUCUUGAGUUCGGGAGAGGAGAGUGGAAUGCCGAGUGUAGAGGUGAAAUUCGUAGAUAUUCGCAAGAACACCAGUGGCGAAGGCGGCUCUCUGGCUCGGUACCGACGCUGAGGUGCGAAAGCGUGGGGAGCAAACAGG
rnacentral:rRNA from 1 species